GCAUAGUUUGUGGGCCAGUACACCACGCAGAGGCCCAUACAGUGCUGCACAGUUUUUGUCUGAUGACGUAUUCCUGCACUACUCUACUAACACUCGUCCCAGUGCACUUCCCACUAUUUUAUUAUUAUUAUUAUUGUCAUUUAUAUAGCGCCAACAGACCCCGUAGCGCUUUACAAUAUUAUGAGGGGGGGAUUUAACUAUAAAUAGGACAAUUACAAUAAAACUUACAGGAGCGAUAGUUUGAAGAGACCCUGCUAAUCCAAAGAAAAUUGUGUGAAGCUGCAACCAAAAACCAAAAAGUAAUUCAAGUGACUGGUGGGUGGCAAUUUCCU